rnacentral:lncRNA from 1 species
AGUAGACUGGCUUUGAAUAGGAACAUGCGCAGGUGGAGGCUUAGUAGUGGCUGUAAGAAGGAGGACAGCCCUAAUUUGGAGGGUCAUUUGCAUUUGAAAAUGCUCCUUACUAAAUUGACUUGCGGAGUUUUCCAGGCUUCAUCUUUUCUCCUUUGCUGGAUGCUUCCUGCCCUCGAACAUCAGACUCCAAGUUCUUCAGCUUUUGGAGUCUUGGACUUACUGGUGGUUAACAAGGGGUUAUCAGGCCUUCAGCCACAGAUUGAAGGCUGCACUGUCAGCUUGUCUACUUUUGAGGUUUUGGGACUCAGACUGGUUCCUUGCUCCUCCGCUUGCAGACAGCCUAUUGUGGGACUUCACCUUGUGAUCAUGUGAUGCUGUGAACCCUCCCCAAGGGAGGUACCAAAAGCCUGCAUGAAGCAAAAACUGGAAACAAAUAAAGGAGAGUAUGGUGACUUUGCACUAAGUUACUCAUUUAUUCACAUAAUUAAUGAGUUUCUAUUAGUGUUAGGCACCGUUCUAGAUGAUGGUAUAAUUAGUUAACAAAAACCUCAAAACUCUCGCCCCCCAUGGAGCUUACAUUUCCAGGGAGGGAGAGAGAUGAUACAACAAUAAGAAAAUACAGAGCUAAUGUCAUUCUAUAUUGUAUAAUUAUGUAAAAUCAAGCCUGAGUAUUUGACAGCUUCUCAGAUACCACAGAUCUGUU